rnacentral:rRNA from 1 species
UACGUAGGGGGCAAGCGUUGUCCGGAUUUAUUGGGCGUAAAGAGCGUGUAGGCGGACAGGUAGGUCUGCUGUGAAAACUCGAGGCUUAACCUCGAGCUGUCGGCGGAAACCAUCUGGCUAGAGUCCGGAAGAGGAGAAUGGAAUUCCCGGUGUAGCGGUGAAAUGCGCAGAUAUCGGGAAGAACACCCGUGGCGAAGGCGGUUCUCUGGGACGGUACUGACGCUGAGACGCGAAAGCGUGGGGAGCGAACAGG